UACGUAGGUGGCAAGCGUUGUCCGGAUUUACUGGGCGUAAAGAGCGCGCAGGCGGUCGUUCAAGUCGCGUGUGAAAGCCCCCGGCUCAACUGGGGAGGGUCACGCGAUACUGAUCGACUCGAAGGCAGGAGAGGGAAGUGGAAUUCCCGGUGUAGUGGUGAAAUGCGUAGAUAUCGGGAGGAACACCAGUGGCGAAGGCGGCACUCUGGGCCGAUACUGACACUGAGGAGCGAAAGCGUGGGGAGCGAACAGG
rnacentral:rRNA from 1 species